rnacentral:rRNA from 1 species
GUGCCAGCAGCUGCGGUAAUACGUAGGGUGCGAGCGUUAAUCGGAAUUACUGGGCGUAAAGCGUGCGCAGGCGGUGAUGUAAGACAGAUGUGAAAUCCCCGGGCUCAACCUGGGAACUGCAUUUGUGACUGCAUCGCUGGAGUGCGGCAGAGGGGGAUGGAAUUCCGCGUGUAGCAGUGAAAUGCGUAGAUAUGCGGAGGAACACCGAUGGCGAAGGCAAUCCCCUGGGCCUGCACUGACGCUCAUGCACGAAAGCGUGGGGAGCAAACAGGAUUAGAUACCCCUGGUAGUCCACGCCCUAAACGAUGUCAACUGGUUG